UUCUCAGUAAUAUCAUCUUUAAUCAACGGAGUAAUGUAAUGCAAGCUUUCUUUCAUCGAAAUUGCAUUUUUAAACAUUUUCAGAGCAGGCUAGAGUAUGAGAUAUCAUUUGUUCUUUUAUUUCAAAGCGCUUAUUUUACAAACUUCAAUAGAAAACAGAGUCGCUUUUAGGGCUAAGCAGAGAUACAGGGCCAGAGCUCUGAAGGAAACCAUCUACUUCAACAUGAAUUGUGUCCCCCAAAUGGCACCAUACUUAUUCCCCAUGUAGUGCACUACUUUUGACCUGAACCCUAUGGGCCCUGAGCUCUAUGGGCCCUGAGCUCUAUGGGCCCUAACCCCUAUGGGCCCUAACCCCUAUGGCCCUAAGCUCUAUGGGCCCUGAGCUCUAUGGGCCCUGAGCUCUAUGGGCCCUGAGCUCUAUGGGCCCUGAGCUCUAUGGGCCCUGAGUUCUAUGGGCCCUGAGCUCUAUGGGCCCUGAGCUCUAUGGGCCCUGAGCUCUAUGGGCCCUGAGUUCUAUGGGCCCUGACUCUAUGGGCCCUGAGUUCUAUGGGCCCUGAGCUCUAUGGGCCCUGAGUUCUAUGGGCCCUGAGUUCUUUGGGCCCUGAGCUCUAUGGGCCCUGAGUUCUAUGGGCCCUGGUCAAAAGUAGUGCACUAUACAGUAUGAGGAGUAGGAUGCCAUUUGACAAACAGUUCACUAAAACCACAACAACACAUUCGACAAACACCCUGGACCCGCUCUUCAAUCCCGUUUCAAGUCAUUUUUCUUUUCACUUGUUGUCGUUGUUAAGAUGUGAAUGGAUUUUAGUGAUGGAUACAGUAGUGUAAUGUAUUGUAAAGUAACCUUUUUUUUAUUUUUUAUGCAUAUUAAAAAGUACAGCACUCAAAAGUUCACAAAGCCUUAGGAUAGUCAGUCUGCGUCAGUCAAUAGUUCCUGACUUAAAUAUGACAUUGUUAUAUCAGAAUAUCACUGAGUAGGGUAGAAAAAGGGAGGAUCCAUAAUACCAUACUUAAUAUGGGAUGAAGAUUGGACGGAGUCAGUGACGAAUAAUGUAUAUAUCUAGGCAGUCCUUGUCCAAAUUAGUCAUACAACCACAUUACUUCCUCAGUAGUAAAAUCCCUGUUUAAUAUUCCUCUCAUCUUUAUUUCAUACGGUUCAUUUAUGAUCUUACCGUAACAAACUUAAUAAUAUCCUGCAUGCUUUCUGAGUGGCGUAUAUAUAUAUAUAUAUAUAUAUAUAUAUAUAUAUAUACAGUGAUACAGUAUAAAUAACUGUGCUAAAAAAAAACAUCACAGUACUGCAGCAAUGUUCUUGGUCCCAUAGCAAUGGUUGUAUGUACAGUGGCUUUCAGAAAGUCUUCACACCCUUCUCUUCCACAUUGUGUUCUUACAGCUUGAAUUUAAAAUGGUUUACAGCCUGAAUUUAAAAAUGGUUUACAGCCUGAAUUUAAAAAUGGUUUACAGCCUGAAUUUAAAAAUGGUUUACAGCCUGAAUUUAAAAAUGGUUUACAGCCUGAAUUUAAAAAUGGUUUACAGCCUGAAUUUAAAAUGAACAUUUAUUAAAUUGAGAUCUACACACAAUAUCCCAUAAUGUCAAAGUGGAAUUUUGUAAGUAGAUUUUUUUUGUAAAUUAAUAAAACAUUUUAAACUGAAAUAUCUUGAAUAAGUAAACAAGUAUAUAACCCCUUUAUGGCAAGCAUAAAUAAGUUUAAGAGUAAAUAUCUCCUUAACAAAUGGCAUAAUAAGUUGCAUGGACUCAUCCCGUGUUCAAUAACAGUGUUUAACAUUAUGUUUGAAUGACUACCUCGUCUCUGUACCCCACACAUACAAUUAUCUGGAAGGUCCCUCAGUCCAGCAGGGAAUUUCAAACACAGAUUCAACCACAAAGACCAGGGAGGUUUUCCAAUGCCUCGCAAAGAAGGGCACCGAUUGGUAGAUGGGUAAAAUGUUUAAUAUCCCUUUGAGCAAGGUGAAGUUAUAAUUAGGCUUUGGAUGGUGUAUCAAUACACCCAGUCACUACAAAGAUACAGGCGUCCUUCCUAACUCAGUUGCCGGAGAGGAAGGAAACCGCUCAGGGUUUUCACCAUGAGGCCAUUGGUGAAUUUAAAACAGUUAUAAGUAAUACUGAAAACAUUAUGGCAAAGAAAUUCACUUUUUGUCCUGAAUACAAAGUGUUUUGUUUGGGGCAAAUCCAACACAACACAUCACUCAGUACCACUUCAUAUUUUCAAGCAUGGCGGUGGCUGCAUCAUGUUAUGGGUAUGCUUGUCAUUGGUAAGGACUAGGGAGUUUUUAGGAUAAAAAUAAACGGUAUAGAGGAAAACCUGGUUCAGUCUGUGUUUCAAUAGACACUGGGGAAAUGAAUUCACCUUUCAGCAGGACAAUAACCUAAAACACAAGGCUAAAUCUACACUGGAGUUGCUUACCAAGAUGACAUUGAAUGUCCCCGAGUGGCCUAUUUACAGUUUUGACUUAAAUCAGCUUGAAAAUCCAUGGCAAGACCUCAACAUUAUUGUCUAACAAUGAUCAACAAUCA
rnacentral:lncRNA from 1 species